GGUUGGCGAUGAUGAGGAUCUUUCAGCUUUAUAAUGCCAUUUCUGCUUCUGAUUUUUCAGUGAUUGAAAAUCUGGAUUUUUUCCUGAGCCUCUU
rnacentral:snoRNA from 1 species